rnacentral:rRNA from 1 species
GUCGAGCGAAGUAUCUUGGAGUGAAGUUUUCGGACGGAACGAAGAGAUAUCUUAGCGGCGGACGGGUGAGUAACGCGUGAAGAACCUGCCUUUCACAAAGGGAUAGCCUCGGGAAACUGGGAUUAAUACCUUAUGAUACUUUUGAACCACAUGGUUUAAAAGUCAAAGCGUAAAGCGGUGAAAGAUGGCUUCGCGUCCCAUUAGUUAGUUGGUGAGGUAACGGCUCACCAAGACUGCGAUGGGUAGCCGGCCUGAGAGGGUGAACGGCCACACUGGAACUGAGACACGGUCCAGACUCCUACGGGAGGCAGCAGUGGGGAAUAUUGCACAAUGGAGGAAACUCUGAUGCAGCGACGCCGCGUGAACGAUGAAGGCCUUCGGGUCGUAAAGUUCUGUCCUAGGGGACGAUAAUGACGGUACCCUAGGAGGAAGCCCCGGCUAACUACGUGCCAGCAGCCGCGGUAAUACGUAGGGGGCGAGCGUUGUCCGGAAUUAUUGGGCGUAAAGGGUUCGCAGGUGGUUUUUUAAGUCAGAUGUGAAAGGUCACGGCUCAACCGUGGUAAGCAUUUGAAACUGGAAGACUUGAGUUAUGGAGAGGAAAGUGGAAUUCCUAGUGUAGCGGUGAAAUGCGUAGAUAUUAGGAGGAAUACCAGUGGCGAA